rnacentral:lncRNA from 1 species
GAGCCCCUCACCUCCCCAGAAGACAAGAAGGGGUCGAAGUCCCCGGUUACGCAUGCCCAUUGGACCGUGAAGGAUUGUGGUGCCUGUUCAAACAUCAAACCAAGGUGGGGGUUGGCUUCCUGCCCGUAUCAUGAGCGAUGGCUCCAGUCCAGGAUCCCUUCGGGGACCCAAGUGAACCCUGACACAAACGAAGCACCACGUGUGCCCAGCUAUGAGCGUGUUAUUACUGAAGCUGCCGUGAAGGUAAAAGCUAAGCAACAGCAUCUCAAGUCAGGGUUGGUGGAGGCUUCAGUUCCGGUUGCCCCUCUGAGAUGGAGUCCCGCCUUCCAGAGUCCGUGGGAUUUUCCUUAAAGAGUCAGCAUAUGUGAACCCAAAGCACUACGAGGUUUUAAUUUCCUUCUUCGAGGCCUUCUGUAAGAGCCCAUCAGGAUCUAUUAACCAAUACAAACAGAUUGGCUUUCAAAAUGUGAGGUUCAUUGAUUCUCUUGGGCAGGGGACACAUCCUUUAAUCGAUUUUCUCCUAUGUUCCCAAGACUGGCUAACAGCCAAGGGCAGGGACCUAAGGGACACACUUUUCUCCCCCCCCCC